rnacentral:rRNA from 1 species
GUGAACUAUGCUUGGCGAAGACGAAGCCCCAGGAAACUGUGGUGGAAGUCUGUAGCCGUUUUGACGUGCAAAUCAAUGGUGUCAGCUGAGCAUAGGGGCGAAAGACCAAUCGAACUAUCUAGUAGCUGGUUCCAUUCGAAGUUUCUCUCAGGAUAGCUUGCGUGACAUUAACGCUAUGAGUCUGGACUCUUCGGUACACGAAAGCGUGCUGGUAGUCCGUCCCACUUUGUCUGCAGUUGUUGAGAGUUGACGUAGCCAAGAACUUUGUCAUCUCACUCUCUAGUCGCCAGGGUAGCGUAUCAUUUGACCGUGAGCAGUUACGUCUGGUAAAGAGAAUGAGUAGAGUUAGCUCGUUGCUUUCUAUAGCAACAGCAGCGGGGCGUCCUACGCCUCGCACUAUUAUCAAACUUUAAAUGGGCGAGGUACCCGGUAUUUUCUUAAUUGCUUGAUACCGGGGCGAAACACGUCUUGGCUUUACCGUCGAGGCGAAGGUGAAUGCGUGCGCGCAAAGUGGGUCCUUUCUGGUAAGCAGAACUGAUAAUGAGGGAUGAACCUAACGCAUGUGCUAAGGGGCCAAAGAGACAGCUAUUUCUCGAAACCAUUGGAAAGGUGUUGCUUGCUGAAGACAGCAGGACGGUGGUCAUGGAAGUCGAUAUCCGCUAAGGAGUGUGUAACUACUCAUCCUGCCGAAGCGAGUAACCCUGAAAAUGGAUGGCUCUAUAGCUCUCUCCCGAUGCACGGCCGUCAGUAGCACUUGAGUCACCUCGUGUCUCUACGCUCUGACGAGUAGAAUGGUUGUGCUGCAUUGCGUUGACGGCUAUCGCGUGAGCGUGGUCUGAGCGUGCAGCAGUACAGAUCUUGGUGGUAGUAGCAAGUACUCUGGUGAAUAACCUUGAGCUGUGAGGUUGAUAAGGGUUCCAUGUCAACAGUGUUUGUACAUGGGUAAGUCGAUCCUAAGCCCCCAUUAUUCUUAAUGGUGAUUGCGAUCGCCCGAGAGUCAUGGUGUCUGUAGUAGAGUCAGAGUUGGAGCUAGCGCUCUGUCUUGGAUUGCGUUGUAUCGUCUGUCGCAUAACUUUUUGCGUGAACAGUGGUACAGGUGUGUUGUGUGAACGGUAGCGUUUUUCUCUUUGAGAAUUGGGACGCUGUGACCUAGUAGUACGAUGCUCGUGUACCGCUUAGUACCAAUGAUGUACAUGGGUUUUUGCGCGUGAUACGUAAAGUCACUACACUUUCGCGUCGCUCGGCGAAAGGGAAUUGCGGACUCAGUUCGUAAACCACACCUGGUACCCUGAGACGGUUCACCGUUUCACGGACCUGGCAAGAGCUUGCCAGGCCAGUCGCUGUCAUAAGUAGCUCGGCGGGGAGAUUUCUUCUCUCUUUGAUAUAGAUACGUGUCCUGAAAGCACCUCGAGUGGCGGAAGGUCAACGCUAUCUAGCAGAGUACUCUACUCCCUCGAGUAGAUAACGAUGCUGCUUGUGAUCCGUGAAAAGGUGGUCGAGGGGAAAGUAUGGGACAAUCAGCACCCACAAUGCUACAAAGCAAACGAGAACAAGACUGUGUUCGUGUAAGCCCGCGCUUACUACCCACGACUUGUGUUUUUGUGCGCCGCGUAUGCUGUGUUGUGU